ensembl:lncRNA
AGGGAAAUGCCGAGCGGUUGGAUCUUUUCCUCUCGGAUGCACCAUGAUGUGGUGCUGGGAGAUAGAACAGCUCUCAUCAGCUCAGAUGUGAGGGACUAGAGACAGAGUCAAGUGAACCACCCAAGCCCUCUGAGUAGCCAGAAGAGGCCCAUUGGCAUCUGAUCAUUCAUCAUCAGAAGGGAGAGGUUGCUCUUCAGAGAGCUCAGCUUCUGCAGAGUCAGCUUGACCCACUGGCAGAGCUGCCCAGCUGUGGCCAACAGAUGGCUGAACUGGAGUCAGUACAGCUCUUGCCCACUUCCUACGAUCCCGGGGUCCUGGAAGGGAGGCUGCGUGUCAGCCUAGAGGCAGAGGAGAGAAGAUUCACUGACAGCGGGCCAAGACUGAACAAACUGGAAAGAGACAGCUGGAGGACAGUCGUCCUUUCUAGAUCUCUGUUUUCUGGUUCACAGAGAUGUGAAUACACUGCUUCCCACUUGUAUUGCUAAAGCCAUGAACAAGUCCACCCCAUGGAUUUCACCUUCAAACCAUCAUCC